rnacentral:rRNA from 1 species
UUGGAGGGCAAGUCUGGUGCCAGCAGCCGCGGUAAUUCCAGCUCCAAUAGCGUAUAUUAAAGUUGUUGCAGUUAAAAAGCUCGUAGUUGAAUUUCGGGGUUCUACCGUUGGUCGGGCUAUUGUCUGUACUGGCGUGUAGAAUUUCUACCUUCUGGGGAACUAUCAUGUUAUUAAUUUAGCGUGGUAGGAAACCAGGACCUUUACCUUGAAAAAAUUAGAGUGUUCAAAGCAGGCUUAUGUCUGAAUACAUUAGCAUGGAAUAAUAAAAUAGGACGGUGGUCCUGUUUUGUUGGUUUCUGAAUCACCGUAAUGAUUAAUAGGGAUAGUUGGGGGCAUUAGUAUUCAAUUGUCAGAGGUGAAAUUCUUGGAUUUAUUGAAGACUAACUACUGCGAAAGCAUUUGCCAAGGAUGUUUUCAUUAAUCAAGAACGAAAGUUAGGGGAUCGAAGACGAUCAGAUACCGUCGUAGUCUUAACCAUGAACUAUGCCGACUAGGGAUCGGACGAUGUUAACUUUUCUUGACUCGUUCGGCGCCUUACGGGAAA